rnacentral:rRNA from 1 species
GAUUGAACGCUGGCGGUAUGCUUAACACAUGCAAGUCGAACGGCAGCACAGGAAGUUUACUUCUUGGUGGCGAGUGGCGGACGGGUGAGUAAUGCAUAGGAAUCUACCUUUUAGUCUAGGAUAACUACCCGAAAGGGUGGCUAAUACUGGAUGUGGACUAUGGUUUAAAGCAGGGGAUCUUCGGACCUUGCGCUAAGAGAUGAGCCUAUGUGGGAUUAGCUAGUUGGUGAGGUAAUGGCUCACCAAGGCGACGAUCUCUAGCUGGUUUGAGAGGAUGAUCAGCCACACUGGGACUGAGACACGGCCCAGACUCCUACGGGAGGCAGCAGUGGGGAAUAUUGGACAAUGGGCGCAAGCCUGAUCCAGCAAUACCGCGUGUGUGAAGAAGGCCCUAGGGUUGUAAAGCACUUUUGUUAGGGAGAAUGGGUUUAGUAGUUAAUACCUACUGRAUCUGAUGUUACCUAAAGAAUAAGCACCGGCUAACUCC